CAGUCGCCACGGUAAUACGAAGGGGGCUAGCGUUGCUCGGAAUCACUGGGCGUAAAGGGUGCGUAGGCGGGUCUUUAAGUCAGGGGUGAAAUCCUGGAGCUCAACUCCAGAACUGCCUUUGAUACUGAAGAUCUUGAGUUCGGGAGAGGUGAGUGGAACUGCGAGUGUAGAGGUGAAAUUCGUAGAUAUUCGCAAGAACACCAGUGGCGAAGGCGGCUCACUGGCCCGAUACUGACGCUGAGGCAUGAAAGCGUGGGGAGCAAACAGGAUUAGAUACCCCCGUAGUCCCUGUCUCUUAUAC
rnacentral:rRNA from 1 species